CCUGGUGGUUUAGGCGAAGUGGUACCACCCGUUACCAUCCCGAACACGGCAGUGAAACGCUUCAGCACAGACGAUACUGAGGAGGCGACUCCUUGUGGAAAAUAUGCCACUGCCAGGG
rnacentral:rRNA from 1 species